rnacentral:rRNA from 1 species
GGGGGAAACCCUGAUGCAGCGACGCCGCGUGGAGGAAGAAGGUCUUCGGAUUGUAAACUCCUGUUGUUGAGGAAGAUAAUGACGGUACUCAACAAGGAAGUGACGGCUAACUACGUGCCAGCAGCCGCGGUAAAACGUAGGUCACAAGCGUUGUCCGGAAUUACUGGGUGUAAAGGGAGCGCAGGCGGGAAGACAAGUUGGAAGUGAAAUCUAUGGGCUCAACCCAUAAACUGCUUUCAAAACUGUUUUUCUUGAGUAGUGCAGAGGUAGGCGGAAUUCCCGGUGUAGCGGUGGAAUGCGUAGAUAUCGGGAGGAACACCAGUGGCGAAGGCGGCCUACUGGGCACCAACUGACGCUGAGGCUCGAAAGUGUGGGUAGCAAACAGGAUUAGAUACCCUGGUAGUCCACACCGUAAACGAUGAUUACUAGGUGUUGGAGGAUUGACCCCUUCAGUGCCGCAGUUAACACAAUAAGUAAUCCACCUGGGGAAGUACGACCGCAAGGUUGAAACUCAAAGGAAUUGACGGGGGCCCGCACAAGCAGUGGAGUAUGUGGUUUAAUUCGACGCAACGCGAAGAACCUUACAAGUCCUUGACAUCCCCUUGACGAUGCUGGAAACAGCAUUUCUCUUCGGAGCAAGGAGAC